GCUGCCUUUACAGAAGUCUAUGGAUUUGUCUGGCUCAUGAUGCCAUGAUGCCAUUGUAGAAAGCGUAGAAACCAGCGGUGUGGCUGGUAACGUGAAAUGGCGCAAUGCGAAAGGAGUGUAUGUAGUAUGUUUUCCGUAGCAAAUGCUGAUGCAAGUGAAGGAUCAUCAGUUGAGGUGAUAGAAUGUGAGCAAAGGGAUGUUUCGAGCAAAGACAAUGAGGGCAGUGGAAAACGCAAAAAGCGUAAACAUCAUAAGCACAAGCACAAACAUCACCACAGCUCCCAAAAAGAAAAGAAUAGCCACAAGCACAAGGGGCAUUCGAGUGACAAAAGUAAAAAUCACGAUAGUGAAAAUCUUCAAGUCAGCCGGAUGAACUUGGAGGAACUGGAGCAGCAAAAAGCCAUUCUUCAGGCCAAACUCUACACCCUUGUACCAAGUGACUAUGGUAGCUCGGAAGAUGAAGUGAAAAAGCCACGGAAGGAGAAGUCAAAAUCCUCUCUAAAAAGGCAGAAGGAAAGCAACAAGAAAAGGGCUCUGUCGCCACAUAAGGAACCUAAAAGCAAAGUGGAAGAGUCCAAAAACGUCGAUAGAACAGAACAUCGAAAAGAACGUCAAGCGCCAGAGCGCAUCAGACGUACCUCUCCCGCACGUCCUGUCAGAGAAACGGAUGUACAAGAAAGACCCGAAAAGGCUCGGGAUCCUUCCAGUCCUCCUUCCAAGCACAGGCGAGAGUCAGCAUCAUCUCAUAGAAAAAGUCCAUCAAGAAGAAGCCCUACUCGACGAUCUCCACCCAGAAGAACUCCAGUAAGGAGAAGCUCACCUAAGAGAAGCCCUCCACUGAGGAGAAGUCCACCAAGGAGGAGCCCUUCCAGAAAGAGUCCACUUAGGAAGGCUUCCCCAAGGAGACUGUCUCCUAGAAGGAGUCCUCGCCGAAGCCCAUCUUCAAGACGACUUGAAUUAAGACGUUCCCCAUCCCCCCGGCGUGUAUCCGAUAGAGAUCGUCACAGGUCUCCUGUUGCACGACACACUUUGCCCAGGCACUGUUCACCACCAAAGAACAUGCGUGAACGAAGUCCUCGACCAAGAUCCCCUCUGCGGAGUCGCCAUCGAAGUCCCUUUAAAGGACGACGGUCACGUAGCCCACGCAUGAGAGACCGAGGAUCAUGCAGGAGUCGUUCACCACGUGGAUUAAGAGGCGAUGAUCGAGUUCGGGGCAGCCGUGAUGGCAGGGAUCACAAAGAUGAACGAGAUCGUUAUGGCUCGAAGAGCAGCUCCAGCAACAAGAAGAAAGGGAAAGCAUCUGUGUCGUCAUCAGAUGAAAUUGAAGAUGUGGAUAUUGAGGAUGAUGAAGACGAAGAAAAGGUAAUAGAAAGACAGCGACAACAGCGGCAGGAGCUACUAAAGAGAUUAGGUGUUGAUAACCAGGUUGAAAGCAGCACUUUCUCAUCUCCUGUGCAUUCUCGUCAUAGUGGUUCCUGCACACCAGAUUCUGUGACUAUUGAAAACAUGGUGUCUGAUAUUAAUGACGAACAGAGUGCUGAUACGACGGACUUUGAGGCAGCCAUCAUGGCAAAAAGACAAAUGAUGAUGGCUCAGGAGGCAGGUGGAGAUGGAGACACAGGACAGGAUAAGAAGCAGAAACAGUUUGACAUGUUCUCAGAGGACAUGUUUGCUGAAAAUUAUUCGAGCCCAAAUUCCAUUCAGAAGUUCUCUCUCCAUGCACAAGAUAAUCCAAACCUGACAGACAACUGGGAUGAUGCAGAGGGAUACUACCGUGUCCGCAUUGGUGAAGUACUAGACAGCCGUUACACAGUGUAUGGGUACACUGGCCAAGGUGUCUUUAGCAAUGUUGUACGGGCAAGAGAUAUGGCACGUGGGAAUCAGGAUGUUGCAGUAAAGAUAAUCAGGAAUAAUGAAGUAAUGCAUAGAACAGGCCUCAAAGAGCUUGAAAUGUUACGAAGACUGAACGAUGCUGAUCCCGACGACAAGUUCCAUUGCUUGAGACUCUACAGACACUUUUUUCAUAAGCAACAUCUCUGUCUUGUUUUUGAGCCACUGAGCAUGAACCUUCGUGAAGUAUUAAAAAAGUAUGGAAAAGAUGUUGGGCUACACAUCAAGGCUGUGCGUUCCUACAGCCAACAAUUAUUUUUUGCCCUGAAACUGCUGAAAAGAUGCAAUAUACUCCAUGCUGACAUUAAGCCGGACAACAUCUUGGUGAAUGAAACGAAAUUGCUGCUAAAACUGUGUGACUUUGGCUCAGCUUCUCAUGUUGCGGAAAAUGAUAUCACUCCAUACCUUGUGAGCCGGUUUUAUCGAGCACCUGAAAUAAUUUUAGGUUUGGGAUACGACUUCAGCAUUGACAUGUGGAGUGUUGGAUGUACUUUGUACGAGCUCUACACUGGAAAGAUAAUGUUUCCUGGGAAGUCAAACAACCAGAUGCUUAAAUUCUGCAUGGACCUCAAAGGAAAAUUUCCAAAUCGCCUAAUUCGCAAGGGCACCUUUCGGGAGCAGCACUUUGAUGUCAACUGCAACUUUCUCUAUCAUGAAGUUGACAAGGUGACCGAAAGGGAAAAGAUUGUGGUAAUGACUAAUAUUAAUCAGACUCGGGACCUCACAAGUGAGUUGAUUGGACGGCAGCGUCUACCAGAAGACCAGAUGAAAAAGGUAUUGCAGCUGAAGGACCUCAUCGAGAAGACAUUGGUGCUUGACCCUGCUAAACGGAUAUCCAUCAACCAAGCUCUUGCGCACCCUUUUAUUCAUGACAAGAUAUGAAAGGGUGCCAAUGGAACUGUUUAAGUGGUGUCAGUUACAAAUCAGUUGUUGCUACUGUUUGGCCAGUCUUGCAAUGUGGUUGUUUAUAGGAGCUGCCUCAUUUCAUUGAAAGCUAAAAAGAUCACCACCUAUCUUCUGACAGGUGGCACCAUCCCUGGCUGGACAGGCAUUGCUUCACACCAUGAUUGGUUACCGGUUGUACUAACUUGUGUUGGCUAUUACACCUGUGACUGACCAGGGAGGUUGAUCCAUGGAGAUGUUCAUUGAAGAAUGCGAAAAUAUGGCUGACAACCCCAUAUCGCCAAGGUAGAGGACACAGGGUGUCUGUAAUGUUCUGUGGCACUGCAGUAGGGUAUAGAUUUCUCUUACAUGCUGGUUUCCUCUUGAGCUUUUAGUGUGUUGUAAGCAGUUAUGUGGCCAUGUGCUAGCUCAAGGCAGUGCAGUAUUACGAUGUACUAUUUUUGCCUUGCAGCAUCAUAUCUUAGUUAUUUUUCAGAACUAUCCUAUGUUUAAUGGCUCUCGUAGUGAUUUGUAUGGUGGCAGGCAUUGUUCUUUAUUUUGAUCAGUUUGAAGAACGGGUGUAACAGCUCUUUCGUCCUUUUCUGUAUAGCUGUGGCUGCUGUAGGUCUAGCACCAUUGCAGCCUUCAGCUAAAAGUUUUGUUGGAUAGUUUCCUGCUCCUGCCCUUUCCUUUCCAGGCUGGCCUCAGCUGCCCUUGGAACUCGAUUCUUAUGGCAUAUUUUAAGAAUCCUGAAUGAAGGUAAGUAUAAUGGGUGUUAAACAUUAUCACAUGCAGGUGUAUUUUUUCAGUCAUCAGUGGAGCACUCCAAAAAAUAGAAUGUCUUUUGCAAGAAUUGCCUUUUGCAGGAACAUACAACAAAUAAGAUAUUAGCCAUUUUUGCGAGCAUGUUGGUUUCAUCCAAGAAUUCUUAUGCACCAGUGGAGACGAAAGAAAAUUCAGGAGAACUGAGAGCUUUCUCGGAUUUCAUCUGAUAAUCUGGACAGUGCUGCGAUAAUCACCUCUAAGAAGUGGUAUUGAAUUUCAACUUCAUGUGGUCUAACAGCAAUGCUGUGCAAAUUAAUGGAGGGGCAUUAGACUCACUUGUGUCUCCUAACUUGCUAGUUUAUUUGUGAAUUCAUUUGAGCAAAAAGCAUAGCUUUAUGGUGAUAUUUAGAUGUAUCACAUUAUUUGGUCUGGUGAUAAAGUAGCCUUUAAUACAUUUUUUUUUACAUCUUCAAUUGCCUACAUUAAGUUUACAUGCUACCAAUCUGUUAAUUUUUCGAUGUCAUCAUUUGUCAUAAGGAGGGCUGACCUGUAACUGAUUUCUAGAAACUAGAAGACAGAUGUCAGUGAUCACCUUCACAACCAGGGAGAAAUAGAAAUGCUACGUUACUAAAGUUGGCACUGGUAAUGGUAGUGGUUGGGGCCCAUUUGGAUAAAAGUUGAGCUCGAGUCUUCGACUCACAGCUUUGGCAGUGUACUUCCCACAUGAGCAGCGAGCAUGAGCUUAACGCACUGUCAAGGCUCUUGAGAUUGAGUCUAAGACUCGUACUCAACUUUUAUGCAAACGGGCCCAGAAAACGAAAAUGAUUGGCUAAUAUUGAAGUGUUGGUAAUGUCUAUUACUGUUACGCGGUGACUUGAGUGAUUUUUUACAUACCACAUGAGACCAUGGGAAGCGCAGCGUGCAAUAUUCAGGCGAUUCAGUGAAAGGUUCAAGCUAUGGAUGCAUCAUCCAUCGUUUGAUUGUCCCAGUCCACAUAACUCAUGAUGCAAAUCCGGCUAUUCUGUACAAAAUUUCCCCUGCUUCCGGAGACUGCACCCACUAUGACGUAGGCGUGACAUUCGUCUGCAAGGGAGGUGCUCACUUGCAGGCACCCUGCCCACUGGGCAAGGAGGACGGGGUAGCUGCUCCUGUAUUGCACUCCAGAGUGGGAUUGAGGCCAGAAUGAAGAGCAAUAAAAUGACAGCGUGUUGUGCGGUUCAUGAGCUAGAAGGAUUAGUGUGUUAAACUGAGAGACUCAGCAUCUAGUGGUGUCCAUUUUAUGACAGAGCUUACACUCUGCUUCCAUCCUUUUAUAGAAUAUUGGAAAUGACACUUUGUUUGUGUUAAUGCAUUGUUUAAUUACUUUUAAUGCAUAAACGCCUUUUGCCUUCAUUUCCAACGCCCACAGACUCUGUUACCUACACCUGUCACUUCCUGUGUGUACAAUCAUGUCUGCAUUUGAUGGUCAGGUCUUCUGUAAUCCCUCUCCCUAUGAGCUCUUCUUUUGAUUUAUUGACCUGGUGCUUCCUCACUCGUCUAAUUGGGUAUUGUGUGGUAUGUCCUCGGUUACCGGAUGAAGUGCAGACCACGUAUGAAGUAUCUGACAGUGUUCUCAGUAUCUUUGUCCAAGCCUGAGCAGGACUUUGAGGUUCCAGGGAGUUAAUAAAAUGUUCACAUGGAACGUGAGGUGUCUAUUCCCUGCACAAUCUGAGCCGUCGCGGCUUGUCUUGGCUUUUUCGCAGUCAUGUGCAUUGCCAAUUUAUCUGUGGUCGAAUACAUCCAGAGGGAAGCUCUAGAGACAACACUCAACUUUCCUCACUCGCAAGUUGCCAAAUCUUUGAGAACGAGGCCUCACAAUCGACCUCCUGCUAUGAAUCGCAAAACUCCAGGAAGGUGCGCACACAGCGAAUUGCAUCAAUCAAGAGAGAGGGUUGCCCCAAGAGCAUGAGUGGUAUCAGAGAACAUGGAAUGCCUUGUUCCACUACACACAGCAAGGCAACUCAUGGACAUUUCUUGCUAAAGAAAUUCUUGUGUGGCCAAAGCGGCCCUAUUUUGCAAUAAAAGAAAAGUCAUACGAG